UACGAAGGGGGCUAGCGUUGUUCGGAAUUAUUGGGCGUAAAGGGCUCGUAGGCGGUUUGUCGCGUCGGGAGUGAAAUCCUACGGCUUAACUGUGGGCUUGCUUUCGAUACGGGCAGACUAGAGGUAUGCAGGGGAGAACGGAAUUCCUGGUGUAGCGGUGAAAUGCGCAGAUAUCAGGAGGAACACCGAUGGCGAAGGCAGGUCUCUGGGCCGAUACUGACGCUGAGGAGCGAAAGCGUGGGGAGCGAACAGG
rnacentral:rRNA from 1 species